UGUGAUUGGCUCCAGCCUAUAGAAACUUUAAUGUUUUGUUUCUGUUUUUAUUAAAUUUAAAUUUAUGUCUGAAUACUUUCGUAUUCCCAGCAUAUGUACGUAUGCUGACGAAUUUUACAAAAACAUUGGAUCGUGAUCAUAGGAAAAGAAUUGGAAAACCCGAAGUAAUAACUCGAAUGUCGAUUAAUUUCAAUACAUUUCACACAAUUCACCGUGCAGUAAACAGAAUAUAUAUGCCUUUAUAAUUGUAACUUACCGUACAUUUUUGCAAUGAAUGCAUCGUUCCAUUCAUAUACUGAUAUACUAGCGGCACAUCAGCAAGAUUCCUCUAGUCCGGAAAAUUUCCCUUCAGUUGUCGUUGGUUAUAGAACCAGCCACACCAAGGAUAUUGCUGAAAGUAAUUCAAACAUCUCUUCGUCUCAAUUGUCGUUUAUGGAUGAAUCUUCGAAUGAAUUCAACAACCAACAGUUAAUACAUCCCAGCACAUUAGUUAAAGUGUGUGGUGGUUGUGGAGG